rnacentral:lncRNA from 1 species
UUGAAGGAUAUCCCAACUCUUGUUUUCUUUUUUUUUAUUAUUGUCUCCUCUAGUUUAUCAUAUCCUCCACGAGAUAAUCUAUGAGGAUGAAUAUUUUUUGUCUUAUUCUCCUUUCCUUUUUGACUCUUAGCCAGGAAUUCAAUAGUGUUGCGAGACUUGAAAAAUAUCUCCCAAAUGUAUUUAUCAAGAAAACUAUAAGUCACAUAUAAAGGCAUUAAGUUAGUAC